AUUGAACGCUGGCGGCAGGCCUAACACAUGCAAGUCGAACGAGUGGCGGACGGGUGAGUAAUGUCUGGGAAACUGCCUGAUGGAGGGGGAUAACUACUGGAAACGGUAGCUAAUACCGCAUACCAUCGGAUGUGCCCAGAUGGGAUUAGAUAGUAGGUGGGGUAAAGGGUCACCUAGGCGACGAUCCCUAGCGGGUCUGAGAGGAUGAUCAGCAAGAAUGGAACUGAGACACGGGCCAGAGGCGUACGGGAGGCAGCAGUAGGGGAUAGUGCACAAGGAGCGCAAGCCUGAUACAGCAAUGCCGCGUGUAUGAAAAAGGCCUUUGGGUUGUAAAGUACUUUCAGCGGGAAGGCGUUACCCGCAGAAGAAGCACCGGCUAACUCCGUGACAGCAGCCGCGGUAAUAA
rnacentral:rRNA from 1 species